rnacentral:rRNA from 1 species
CCUACGGGUGGCAGCAGUGAGGAAUAUUGGUCAAUGGGCGCGAGCCUGAACCCGCCAAGUAGCGUGAAGGAUGACUGCCCUACGGGUUGUAAACUUCUUUUAUAAAGGAAUAAAGUGAGGCACGUGUGCCUUUUUGUAUGUUCUUUAUGAAUACGGAUCGGCUAACUCCGUGCCAGCAGCCGCGGUAAUACGGAGGAUCCGAGCGUUAUCCGGAUUUAUUGGGUUUAAAGGGAGCGUAGAUGGGUUGUUAAGUCAGUUGGGAAAGUUUGCGGCUCAACCGUAAAAGUGCAAUUGAUACUGGCAGUCUUGAGUACAGUUGAGGUAGGCGGAAUUCGUGGUGUAGCGGGGAAAUGCUGAGAGAUCACGAAGAACACCGAUUGCGAAGGCAGCUUACUAAACUGCCACUGACAUUGAUGCUCGAAAGUGUGGGUAUCAAACAGGAUGAGAUACCCGUGUAGUC